rnacentral:rRNA from 1 species
UACGUAGGGGGCAAGCGUUGUCCGGAAUCAUUGGGCGUAAAGAGCGUGUAGGCGGCUUGGUAAGUCCGCUGUGAAAGUCCAGGGCUCAACCCUGGAAAGCCGGUGGAAACUGUCAAGCUUGAGUCCGGAAGAGGCGAGUGGAAUUCCUGGUGUAGCGGUGAAAUGCGCAGAUAUCAGGAGGAACACCAAUGGCGAAGGCAGCUCGCUGGGACGGUACUGACGCUGAGACGCGCAAGCGUGGGGAGCGAACAGG